rnacentral:rRNA from 1 species
CAGCGCCACGAGUGGCAAUCACGUUUAUUGGGCCUAAAGCGUCCGUAGCCUGUUUGGUAAGUCUUUUGUGAAAUCGUUGUGCCUAACAUAACGUUGUGCAAAAGAGACUGCCAGACUUGGAACCGGGAAGGGUCAGAGGUAUUCUUGGGGGAGCGGUAAAAUGCUAUAAUCCCAAGAGGACCACCUGUGGCGAAGGCGUCUGACUAGAACGGCUUCGACGGUGAGGGACGAAAGCUGAGGGAGCAAUUCGGAUUAGAUACCCGAGUAGUCC